GACGAACGCUGGCGGCGUGCUUAACACAUGCAAGUCGAACGGAAAGGCCCUGCUUUUGUGGGGUGCUCGAGUGGCGAACGGGUGAGUAACACGUGAGUAACCUGCCCUUGACUUUGGGAUAACUUCAUGAAACUGGGGCUAAUACCGGAUAGGAGCUCCUGCUGCAUGGUGGGGGUUGGAAAGUUUCGGCGGUUGGGGAUGGACUCGCGGCUUAUCAGCUGGUUGGGAGGGUAGUGGCCUACCAAGGCGUUGACGGGUAGCCGGCCUGAGAGGGUGACCGGCCACCGUGGGACUGAGACACGGCCCAGACUCCUACGGGAGGCAGCAGUGGGGAAUAUUGGACAAUGGGCGAAAGCCUGAUCCAGCAAUGCCGCGGGAGUGAGGAAGGCCUUAGGGUUGUAAAGCUCUUGUACACGGGAUGAUAAUGACAGUACCGGGAGAAUAAGCUACGGAUAACUCCGUG
rnacentral:rRNA from 1 species